rnacentral:rRNA from 1 species
UACCAGCACCCCGAGUGGUCGGGACGAUUAUUGGGCCUAAAGCAUCCGUAGCCGGUCCUACAAGUCUUCCGUUAAAUCCACCUGCUUAACAGAUGGGCUGCGGAAGAUACUAUAGGGCUAGGAGGCGGGAGAGGCAAGCGGUACUCAGUGGGUAGGGGUAAAAUCCAUUGAUCCAUUGAAGACCACCAGUGGCGAAGGCGGCUUGCCAGAAUGCGCUCGACGGUGAGGGAUGAAAGCUGGGGGAGCAAACCGG